CUUCUCCAUCACAUUAACCACAUCUUUUUUAUUUUUCUCAUACUUUUUGUUCUUGUGCUUUUUCUGUGUCAUUCUCCUGCCUUCUUCCACAUUCUUUCACCUCUCUUUCAUUCCUGUUUACCCUUUUCUAUUUCCAUCUAAGCUCUUAUCCUCAUUUUCUUCUCAUUUCAGUUUCCUGUGAACUCCUUUUUCAUUACUCCCACUGUUCUCAAAAGGUUUUUUUAUAUUGUUGUGUUCCAUUCAACCAUCUUCAUGCAUAUCUCAUUCUCUCUUUCUGUCCUUUGUAAACACAUGCACACAUAAUCGCACUACUUCACUCAUAAACACACUCUCCCUCUUGUCAUCCCAGACAUUAGUGAUUAACGUUGUAAGUGGAUACACCAUAUAUAUAUAUUCCUUGCCUGGUCAUUGCCCUCUCUUGCAGCCAGACAGGCUUGCUAAUGUGUGCUAGUGUGCACCUAUACAUCAUAAUGUCAGCUCGGCUAUGCCCCAAUCUUUUCUUUAAAAGUCAUUAAAAUGUGUUGGUUUAAUUGUAGAUCAUUGACAGGUGCUGCUACAGCUCACAGAUAGGUAGCACAGCCCUUAAAACAAUGGGGUAUGGGGGAGGGCGUUUAAAGGGCAUAUAAAUUUGUGUCUGAAGUAGAAUAUGGGGCUACAUCCAAUAAAGCCCCCUAACGAGGGAAAUAACUAAGAUAACUUUAGAAUAAUGAAAAGGAAAAGGGAGAUGCUCAAAGGCAUUUCUAAAU